GAUGGACGCUGACAGAAUGCUUAACACAUGCAAGUCAACUUGAACUUCGGUUUGGGUGGCGGACGGGUGAGUAACGCGUAAAGAACUUGCCUCACAGCUAGGGACAACAUUUGGAAACGAAUGCUAAUACCUGAUAUUAUGAUUAUAUGGCAUCGUAUAAUUAUGAAAGCUAUAUGCGCUGUGAGAGAGCUUUGCGUCCCAUUAGCUAGUUGGAGAGGUAACAGCUCACCAAGGCGAUGAUGGGUAGCCGGCCUGAGAGGGUGAUCGGCCACAAGGGGACUGAGACACGGCCCUUACUCCUACGGGAGGCAGCAGUGGGGAAUAUUGGACAAUGGACCGAGAGUCUGAUCCAGCAAUUCUGUGUGCACGAUGAAGUUUUUCGGAAUGUAAAGUGCUUUCAGUUGGGAAGAAAAAAAUGACGGUACCAACAGAAGAAGUGACGGCUAAAUACGUG
rnacentral:rRNA from 1 species